ensembl:lncRNA uncharacterized LOC110073347
AUGAUAUUGAUAUGUCCAACAAGAACUCAGCAGAGUCUGACACCGAAAGUGAAUGUGAUUUUUAUUCUGACUGUUGGGAAGAAAACAUUGUGCAUGUCAACAAAGAUUUGGUUGACUCUCAUAGUGAAAGUGAUCUACAUUUUCGUCAAAACAGUCCAUGCAGUUUGCUUGGAAAAAAGAAAGGAAAAAACAAGUUGAGUAAAACAGUACUGAUUUCCAGCAUUACUAACUUAGCAAACUGUUGCAAACAUUGCCCUCUGCUGCAAGCACAAAGAUUAGAGAAUGCUAGAGAGUUUCAAGUGAAAUUGUCACCAGACUCUAUAUUGCAUUUAACCUUUGAGGAUGACAAUACAAGUAAUAAUCCACUGAAAACUUACUCAUCCAAGUAUGAUGGGUCUUAUAAAGAUGGCUUGUAUUUAAAUUUUAAAAUCGUUCCUACAUUUGCUACUGAGAAUUCAGUAAAAGGACAAACCUUUCACAAAGCAGAUGAAACUUAUACAUUUGAUGAGCCAAAUCAGAAGCAACCACCAGAUGAUUGUUUAUCAGCGAGUAAACACAACAAAGAUUUCUUUCCUUGUAGAGAAGCAGAAGCUGAGGAAAAUAUUGUUGGUGACUGUUUCAAACCAUCAGCACGACUUUGUGAGAUUAAUAAAAUACAAGUCAAGAAACCUACGGUAUGUCACAAUAUUGAAAGACAACUGGUAAAGGACAGUUUGGAUUACUCUUCAGAGGAUUCGUGUAAAACGGACAGUUCUCAGACCUCUGAUAAAAAUUGUUUGCAUACUGCCUCAGAAGAACUUAUUUCUCUGACACUCAAAGCCUCUUGUGUAGAUCCAGCUAGUUCAAUAGAAGAAGAUUCACAGAGACCUACUUUAGCUUUUAAAUUCAAAGAUUCUGAAGAAAGCCAGCUAGUAACGAAGCUGUACAUAUCUCUUAUUCCAGGUUCUGUGCGCAUAGACACAGAAAAGCCAAAACAAAUUCCAGCUUCCACAAAGAUAGGACAUUCAAAAAUCUUAGCUGAGGAUAUUGGCCAUCCUUCAGCAGAACACACAGAAUCAUCUGAAGGUAGCCACCUCACAAUAGUUUAUACAGGAUCAUCCGAAUGUAGUUGUUCUAGCAUCCAAUCUGAUCAAGCGCUAUCUACACUGAAGCCUUGGGCUCCUUCUCAGCGCUUUCCAUUCUUUAAAGAUACAUAUGCAAGUCAGAAUUCCACCUUCUGUGUCAGAUCAUUACCCCAUUACAGGAUCACAUCAGUUUAUAGGAGUUCUCAAGUUCAGAAAGGACCACCAAAGGCCUCCAAGCCUAAGAAAUCUAUUAUAUUAAACAGAAACAAAAAAGACCAACAAUUCAGAAGCAAAUCCCCUAUCUCUAAUUUUCAUUGGCCAAAAACUAAAAACAAAAAUACUCAUAACGCAGUAGAAAUAAAUGACUUAUAUUAUUUGCCUCUAGCACAGGCUACUAAAUGUUGUUGUAGCCCAUUGCUUGAUUUGAUGGUUGACCUGUAUUCUCCAGAGAGAGAUUCUGGGAAGCUUCUAAGAGUGCACAGAAAACCUCCCAAAAGAACAGAAGUUAGUAAGGUAACUCCAAGAGUUUCCUCCCACUGCAUGCUAAAUCCUAUACGUAGUUUUGAGAGGUUCCAAUACCUUUCUCCAAUAAGAAGGAAAAAUAAUUUGAAGAUGAAGAACAUAUUGAACUAUUGUUUAGGGAGGGCUGGAGGACAGAAUACACAGAAAAACUGUAAAGACGAUGUCUUUCCCACUCCAAAUAAUUCAAAUAUAAAGAGAAAUGACAUUUCCACUCCAAAUAAGCCAGCUGAUGAAUGGAGUUCUGGUGCCACACUUCUCUCAAGCUCAAGGAAUACUUCAGUUCCACUUUCUGCUCAAUUGUCUCAUUCAAAUAAAAGAUGUUCUUCACCCUGUUUACAAAUUGGUCAAAGGAGUCCUGCACCAUUUUAUCUUUUUUGUAAAGAACAGGGGCAUUCAUGUAUACCCUGUGCACAAACUGAAAAACACAUUUGGAGUCCUGCAGCAUCUUACUCUGAUGGAAAAUGUAGCAUUUCUCAUACUCCUUGUUGUACAAAGAUGAUCCAGCAACAGAAGGAAAGAAUUUACAAUACAGGUGUGGAAAACAUGGAUUAUGGGUCUAACCAAGUAACUUGUGGAGGUUUAUUCCCAAAGAAGCUUUCAGUCUGCUCAUGUGGAACUAUACCCCAGUGUGGCAAAGAAUAUAUUUCAGAGUCAGUCAGGAAGAAAACCAGGGCAAAUUCAGAUAUUGACUGCGCAGCUGGUAUAACUGAAUCAAACAGAGUAAAUUCCCCUAUAAGAAUCUGUAACACAGAGGAAGCCUGCUGUGCUAGCUGCCAACAUGGUUUCCACUUCUGUUCUUCGCACAACAUAGGUAGCCAAGAAGCUUCAAAUAAUCAUUUCAUUAAAGUAGCAUCCUUCUUUGAGAAUGGAUUUUCUACAAAGAAUCUGAAAAAAGAUGAUGUAGAGAAAAAUAAAACACUGAAAACAAGCAGUAGAAAAAAUGUCACAUUCCAUGUAGGGCCAGGUACUACACAAGAGAUUGGUCCAUCAGGCACUUAUAUGGCAUCAUCUUCUAAGGAUGGCUUUCAAGUACCUAAACAUUUUGCUUAUUCUGAAUACUCGUGUUGCCAGAGAGUGCAUAACUGCUGUUGCUCAGAAUUCAAGAACUGCCUAAACAGAGAAAGUAUUUUUCGAGUGAAAUGUGGUCAGGAGACUAGAAACAGCUGCCAAUGUUCCAAGGAAAUCUCCAUUUUCAACAUUAACCAAAUUGAUAGGUGUAAUGGAAGGAGAGCAGCUACUUCUGAGAUAAAGGAAUCUGAACGCAUUCAGGAUUCAUCGCAGAUCAAUCGUGGCUGGAGAAGACCUUGUGGAAACCACAAAUGCUGCCAGAACAAUAUUCAAAAAUGCUGUCAGUGCUGCAUGUAUUUACAAUAAGAAGGCAGUGAUACAUGUAUCUCAGCACUUGAUUCAGAGAGAAUCUCAAUAAACUAGGUAUAACAAAAGACA